UCGUAACAAGGUUUCCGUAGGUGAACCUGCGGAAGGAUCAUUAACGUAUCUCUGACGGGGUGUGGGCUUGCCCUGCUCCGGCCCAAAUUGGGCCGUGCAGCGGGUGGCCGCCCCCGCUCAAACCUCACAAACCCACUGUGAACCUUCACGGCAGACGGGCCAUGGCUAGCGCCUUGUCCCCGACGCCGCAACCAAACUCCAGUUGCAAAGAAUGUACUGCGGACCUGUGCCGCCUAAACACAUAACAACUUUCAACAACGGAUCCCUUGGCUCUCGCAUCGAUGAAGAACGCAGCGAAAUGCGAUAAGUAAUGUGAAUUGCAGAAUUCAGUGAAUCAUCGAAUCUUUGAACGCACCUUGCGCUCCUUGGUAUUCCGAGGAGCAUGCCUGUUUGAGUGUCUUGAAGUCAUCAACCCUGUCUGUUUUUGUGCAGACCAGGGUUGGAUUGGUGGGGGUCUGCUGCCGUGAGGUGGCUCCCCUCAAAUGCAUCGGUUGGGCCUGUGGGUCGAAAUCGACUGGGCGUUGUACCAUCCUCGCUCGACAGAGAUGUCCCUAUUGUGCCCUUCCCCGACCUGCCUCUCAGAGUGGCGGUCACAAGCAAAAGCUUUGAAAUCUGACCUCAAAUCAGGUAGGACUACCCGCUGAACUUA
rnacentral:rRNA from 1 species